rfam:Pseudozobellia thermophila strain DSM 19858 genome assembly, contig: Ga0070581_105
AACCAGGAGGAAGGAUUUGACUGAUUGCAACCUCUAGUCCUUGUAAGGUAGUUUCAAUUUUACGACUACCGACAAGGUGCCAAAAAAAUGCUAAAGCAGUUGAU